rnacentral:rRNA from 1 species
GAGGAAUAUUGGUCAAUGGGCGGAAGCCUGAACCAGCCAUCCCGCGUGAAGGAAGACAGCCUUACGGGUUGUAAACUUCUUUUCUGUCAGAAGAAUAAGCUUGUCGAGACGAGUGAUGCCGGUAUGACAGGAAUAAGCAUCGGCUAACUCCGUGCCAGCAGCCGCGGUAAUACGGAGGAUGCAAGCGUUAUCCGGAUUUAUUGGGUUUAAAGGGUGCGCAGGUUGCUUGAUAAGUCAGUGGUGAAAGUCUGUCGCUUAACGGUAGGAUUGCCAUUGAUACUGUUGGACUUGAAUAUGGAUGAGGUAGGCGGAAUGUGUAGUGUAGCGGUGAAAUGCAUAGAUAUUACACAGAACACCGAUUGCGAAGGCAGCUUACUAAUCCAUCAUUGACGCUGAGGCACGAAAGCGUGGGGAUCAAAC